rnacentral:SRP_RNA from 2 species
CCGCACUAGUCGGGGAGAUAGCGGUGCCCUGUACCUGCAAUCCGCUACAGCAGGGAUGAAUCCCGGUCCCCGGAGGCCCCUUGUUCCGUUAGUUGCCGGUAAGCGGUGAUGAGGAAUCGGUCCUGCGCAACGCAGCACUGUGAACCGUGUCAGGCGGGGAACCGAGCAGCACUAAGCAGAACGCCGCGUGUGCCGCGGGUUUGCCGGUUUUGAGCUGGCUGCCAGUGAGACAGGGAUGAGGGGGUCUUCAAAGGCCGGUGUGCGG